UUCUGACAAUUCAAUAGUAUUCGUAUAAUUCCGGGAAUUGGCCCGGAAGUUUCUACGAGGUCACCGUAAAUGAUCUGGCUACGAAGUGAGAAGACGCGCGC
rnacentral:ncRNA from 1 species